rnacentral:rRNA from 1 species
AGGGUUUGAUCAUGGCUCAGUAUUGAACGCUGGCGGCAGGCCUAACACAUGCAAGUCGAACGGUAACAGGAAACAGCUUGCUGUUUCGCUGGCGAGUGGCGGACGGGUGAGUAAUGUCUGGGAAACUGCCUGAUGGAGGGGGAUAACUACUGGAGACGGUAGCUAAUACCGCAUAACGUCGCAAGGCCAAAGAGGGGGACCUUCGGGCCUCUUGCCAUCGGAUGUGCCCAGAUGGGGUUAGCUAGUAGGUGGGGUAACGGCUCACCUAGGCGACGAUCCCUAGCUGGUCUGAGAGGAUGACCGGCCACACUGGAACUGAGACACGGUCCAGACUCCUACGGGAGGCAGCAGUGGGGAAUAUUGCACAAUGGGCGCAAGCCUGAUGCAGCCAUGCCGCGUGUAUGAAGAAGGCCUUCGGGUUGUAAAUAACUUUUCAGCGGGGAGGAAGGGAGUAAAGUUAAUACCUUUGCUCAUUGACGUUACCCGCAGAAGAAGCACCGGCUAACUCCGUGCCAGCAGCCGCGGUAAUACGGAGGGUGCAAGCGUUAAUCGGAAUUACUGGGCGUAAAGCGCACGCAGGCGGUUUGUUAAGUCAGAUGUGAAAUCCCCGGGCUCAACCUGGGAACUGCAUCUGAUACUGGCAAGCUUGAGUCUCGUAGAGGGGGGUAGAAUUCCAGGUGUAGCGGUGAAAUGCGUAGAGAUCUGGAGGAAUACCGGUGGCGAAGGCGGCCCCCUGGACGAAGACUGACGCUCAGGUGCGAAAGCGUGGGGAGCAAACAGGAUUAGAUACCCUGGUAGUCCACGCCGUAAACGAUGUCGACUUGGAGGUUGUGCCCUUGAGGCGUGGCUUCCGGAGCUAACGCGUUAAGUCGACCGCCUGGGGAGUACGGCCGCAAGGUUAAAACUCAAAUGAAUUGACGGGGGCCCGCACAAGCGGUGGAGCAUGUGGUUUAAUUCGAUGCAACGCGAAGAACCUUACCUGGUCUUGACAUCCACAGAACUUUCCAGAGAUGGAUUGGUGCCUUCGGGAACUGUGAGACAGGUGCUGCAUGGCUGUCGUCAGCUCGUGUUGUGAAAUGUUGGGUUAAGUCCCGCAACGAGCGCAACCCUUAUCCUUUGUUGCCAGCGGUCCGGCCGGGAACUCAAAGGAGACUGCCAGUGAUAAACUGGAGGAAGGCGGGGACGACGUCAAGUCAUCAUGGCCCUUACGGCCAGGGCUACACACGUGCUACAAUGGUCGGUACAAAGGGUUGCUACCUAGCGAUAGGAUGCUAAUCUCAAAAAGCCGAUCGUAGUCCGGAUUGGAGUCUGCAACUCGACUCCAUGAAGUCGGAAUCGCUAGUAAUCGUGGAUCAGAAUGCCACGGUGAAUACGUUCCCGGGCCUUGUACACACCGCCC